UACGGGGGGGGCAAGCGUUGUUCGGAAUUACUGGGCGUAAAGGGCUCGUAGGCGGCCUGCUAAGUCGAACGUGAAAUCCCCAGGCUCAACCUGGGAACUGCAUUCGAAACUGCCAGCCUUGAGUGGUGGAGAGGGAAGUGGAAUUCCUGGUGUAGCAGUGAAAUGCGUAGAUAUCAGAAGGAACAUCAGUGGCGAAGGCGGCUUCCUGGACCAAUACUGACGAUCAGGUGCGAAAGCGUGGGGAGCAAACAGG
rnacentral:rRNA from 1 species